rnacentral:other from 1 species
AAUGUCCUGCCUGAUGCGUAUAUGGUGUUUAUAUAACCCUACAACCUUUUUUUUGGGAGCUUUACUCCUAUGGCGGAUUUGCAGACCUCCUGGUUUCACCAGAUGUUGGGAGCAGUUAAACCAUAGGGAAAGCACCCACCUGUCUUUUUUGUAGGCAGGUUAUGAUUGGCACCUUACGGUCAGGUGGGAUUUUU